CCCUUAGAUGUUCUGGGCUGCACCCGUGCUACACUGGCAGGUUCAGCGAGCUUCAUGCCCUGAUCUGAAAAGAAUGGGAAAUCUUUUCAAAACCUGCCGUGCUUGGGAUAGAUGUUUGCAAUUAUUCAUCUUCAACGAGGAUUGCCUUGUAAGCGCACGUCAUCAGCGUGCAUUGAAUACGACCCUGUAUUCUGUACACACCGCCCGUCGCUCCUACCGAUUGAAGUUUUCGGUGAGUUGACAGGAGGAUUUUUUUGAAACUGGUUCGCCAGUGGAUUUUAGAUCCAAAUGCCAACGAAUCGAUGGCUUUAGAGGAAGGAGAAGUCGUAACA
rnacentral:rRNA from 1 species